AUGAGAUGUAAUAUUACCUGCGGAGCGGAGUGCAGCACGACUACUCGCUCCAAACCCGGAAUGUUUCCUCUACAGUCCCUCUCUCUCUCUCCUUCGUCUGUUUCCUCUACAGUCCGUCUCUCUCUCUCUCCUUCACGUUUCCUCUACAGUGCCUCUCUCUCUCCUUCACGUUUCCUCUACAGUCCCUCUCUCUCUCUCCUUCACCUGUUUCCUCCACAGUACCUCUCUCUCCUUCACCUAUUUCCUCCACAGUACCUCUCUCUCUCCUUCACCUGUUUCCUCUACAGUUCCUCUCUCGCUCCUUCACCUGUUUCCUCUACAGUACCUCUCUCUCUCCUUCACCUGUUUCCUCUACAGUACCUCUCUCUCCUUCACCUAUUUCCUCCACAGUUCCUCUCUCGCUCCUUCACCUGUUUCCUCUACAGUACCUCUCUCUCUCCUUCACGGUUCCUCUACAGUACCUCUCUCUCUCCUUCACCUGUUUCCUCUACAGUACCUCUCUCUCUCCUUCACCUAUUUCCUCCACAGUACCUCUCUCUCUCCACCUGUUUCCUCUACAGUACCUCUCUCUCUCCUUCACCUGUUUCCUCUACAGUACCUCUCUCUCUCCUUCACCUAUUUCCUCCACAGUACCUCUCUCUCUCCACCUGUUUCC
rnacentral:lncRNA from 8 species